rnacentral:rRNA from 1 species
GACGUAGGGGGCGAGCGUUGUCCGGAUUUAUUGGGCGUAAAGAGCUCGUAGGCGGUCUGUCGCGUCGGAUGUGAAAACUCGGGGCUCAACCCCGAGCCUGCAUUCGAUACGGGCAGACUAGAGUUCGGUAGGGGAGACUGGAAUUCCAGGUGUAGCGGUGAAAUGCGUAGAUAUCUGGAGGAACACCGGUGGCGAAGGCGGCAUCCUGGACCAACACUGACGCUGAGGAGCGAAAGCCAGGGGAGCAAACGGG